rnacentral:rRNA from 1 species
UAUAAAUGUAAAUUUUAUAACCAGGGUAGUAAUAGUUAUGAACUUCAAACCCAAAGAAUUUGGCGGUAUUUUAGUCCUUUCAGAGGAAUCUGUCCCGUAAUUGACAAUCCACGAGAUAAUUUACUUAUUUUUGUUUUCAGUUUGUAUACCUCCGUCAUAAGAAGAUCUUUUUAGAGUAGUAAUUUUCUUAAUAUAUAAAAUAUAAAAUGUCAGGUCAAGGUGCAAUUUAUGAAUAAGUGGUGAUGGAUUACAAUAAAAUUAUUUAAAUGGAUUAGAUUAAUUAAUUUUUCUAUGAAGGUGGAUUUGAUAGUAAUUUUGGUUAUUUACUUAUUUGAUUUUGGCUCUAAAAUAUGC